rnacentral:rRNA from 1 species
UACGUAGGUGGCAAGCGUUAUCCGGAAUUACUGGGCGUAAAGCGCACGCAGGCGGUCUUGUAAGUUUGGCGUGAAAGCUCCCGGCUUAACUGGGAGAGGUCGCUGAAGACUGCAAGACUUGAGGCAAUGAGAGGGGUGUAGAAUUCCUGGUGUAGUGGUGGAAUGCGUAGAUAUCAGGAGGAAUACCAGUGGCGAAAGCGGCUUCCUGGCCUGUUCUUGACGCUGAGGCGCGAAAGCUAGGGUAGCAAACGGG